GAAGGGUAUUCCUGUUACCUUAAUAAUGGUCAAGAAUUUCAUUUGACGACGAAUAAGGACACGUCUUUGAUGAAAUGUUGUUUUAUGUGUGCAGCAGAACCCAACUGCAUAGACUUUAGUGUCUGUAAGAACUCCAACAUGGUCAAUUGUACCCUGUAUAGAAUGGACGAUAACUCGAGCUGUGGGAAUCCGGACCAGAGCACUGUGUGCAUUCAUUACACAAAGACGUCAAACGGCACAAAGCAUGAAACAACUUCGACAACGCUAUCAACAAAAUCUACCCCAACAACAACAAC